GAAACUCAAAGGAAUUGACGGGGACCCGCACAAGCAGCGGAGCGUGUGGUUUAAUUCGUUGCUACACGAAGAACCUUACCUGGGUUUGACAUAUAGGUUGUAGGGAACUGAAAAGGGACCGACCCUUCGGGGAGCCUAUACAGGUGUUGCAUGGCUGUCGUCAGCUCGUGUCGUGAGAUGUUCGGUUAAGUCCGCUAACGAGCGCAACCCUCGUCGUAUGUUAUAUGUGUCAUACGAGACUGCCGGUAAAAAGCCGGAGGAAGGUGAGGAUGAUGUCAAGUCAGCAUGACCUUUAUAUCCAGGGCUACACACACGCUACAAUGGUCUGUACAAUGGGUAGCCAAGCCGCGAGGCGGAGCCAAUCCUGAAAGCAGGCCUCAGUUCAGAUUGCAGUCUGCAACUCGACUGCAUGAAGCCGGAGUUGCUAGUAACCGCAGGUCAGCAAUACUGCGGUGAAUACGUUCCCGGGUCUU
rnacentral:rRNA from 1 species